rnacentral:rRNA from 1 species
UACGUAGGCAGCAAGCGUUGUUCGGAGUUACUGGGCGUAAAGAGUGCGUAGGCGGUCCUGUAAGUUUGGUGUGAAAUCUCCCGGCUCAACUGGGAGGGUGCGCCGAAGACUGCAGGGCUUGAGUAUGGGAGAGGUAAGCGGAAUUCCUGGUGUAGCGGUGAAAUGCGUAGAUAUCAGGAGGAACACCUGUGGUGUAGACAGCUUACUGGACCAUAACUGACGCUGAGGUGCGAAAGCGUGGGGAGCAAACAGG